GAUUGCCUCAGUAACGGCGAGUGAAGCGGCAACAGCUCAAAUUUGAAAUCUGGCCCCAGGCCCGAGUUGUAAUUUGCAGAGGAUGCUUUUGGCGAGGUGCCUUCCGAGUUCCCUGGAACGGGACGCCAUAGAGGGUGAGAGCCCCGUACGGUUGGACACCAAGUCUUUGUAAAGCUCCUUCGACGAGUCGAGUAGUUUGGGAAUGCUGCUCAAAAUGGGAGGUAUAUUUCUUCUAAAGCUAAAUAUUGGCCAGAGACCGAUAGCGCACAAGUAGAGUGAUCGAAAGAUGAAAAGCACUUUGAAAAGAGGGUUAAACAGCACGUGAAAUUGUUAAAAGGGAAGCGCUUAUGACCAGACUUGCGCCCGGUGAAUCACCCAGCUCUCGCGGCUGGGGCACUUUGCCGGCUCAGGCCAGCAUCAGCUCGCUGUCGGGGACAAAAGCUUCGGGAACGUAGCUCUCUUCGGGGAGUGUUAKAGCCCGUUGCAUAAUACCCUUCGGCGGGCUGAGGUACGCGCUCCGCAAGGAUGCUG
rnacentral:rRNA from 1 species